GGCGGCUGAAGUCGGGCGGUGGCGAGCUUUGAAGUUCCCGCCUUUGAGUCCACAAGCCUGAACAAGACCAGGCCCGCCCUCUGCUGGUCUCUGGCUCCCUGUCUUGAGUGAAGGAAUUUUCCAGGAGUGUCUUCUUGGCCUGGUGGAAUGCCGACAGGACGCGGCACGUCUCUGCUUGUCUCUGCUCACCGCCCUAAAGACGACUCGGGAGAGGAAUAGCUGCAACAACAAGCGGGGAAGAUGAUGGAUUUCUUUCAUGUUUGCUGCUGAUAAGCUGACUGCGGAGACACAUUAUUAGAACUUCAUUCAGUUUUCUUCCUAUUUUUUGAGGCCUCCAGCCUGCUGGGUCCUGCUCUCAGGAGACCCAUCUGCUUAUCAGCAAACAGAAAAGAAGAAGCCAUUUCCUCCCAUCCCGCGGUGGAGGGCACCUGCAGAAACCCGGGGCUCAGGUAGGAGCGACUCCAUGUUGCCAUGGCGAAGAAAAAGACUCAUUUCCUGCCUAAUAACAAACGAGAUACAGAGGCGUUGUUUUCGCCCAUCUCCCCGUCCUGGAGGGGUGCACACUCCGAUGUCUCGGCGUUCUCCGCCGCAGAGCAAAGUGUUGCUGCGUGUGCGCAAAAAAACAGCGUCUUAUUAUACCUUGGCUGCCCCCGGAAAUGUUUAGGAGGCAACAUAUGAACUUGAAUUUUAUUUGAAACACACUUUAUACAAAACCCCGUUUCCAUAUGAGUUGGGAAAUUGUGUUAGAUGUAAAUAUAAGCAAAAUACAAUGAUUUGCAAAUUCUUUUCAACCCAUAUUCAAUUAAAUAGACAACAUAUUUGAUGU